AGUGAACGCUGGCGGUAGGCCUAACACAUGCAAGUCGAACGGCAGCACAGUAAGAGCUUGCUCUUACGGGUGGCGAGUGGCGGACGGGUGAGGAAUACAUCGGAAUCUACUUUUUCGUGGGGGAUAACGUAGGGAAACUUACGCUAAUACCGCAUACGACCUACGGGUGAAAGCAGGGGAUCUUCGGACCUUGCGCGAUUGAAUGAGCCGAUGUCGGAUUAGCUAGUUGGCGGGGUAAAGGCCCACCAAGGCGACGAUCCGUAGCUGGUCUGAGAGGAUGAUCAGCCACACUAGAACUGAGACACGGUCCAGGCUCCUACGGGAGGCAGCAGUGGGGAAUAUUGGACAAUGGGCGCAAGCCUGAUCCAGCCAUACCGCGUGGGUUGAAGAAGCCUUCGGGUUGUAAAGCCCUUUUGUUGGGAAAGAAAAGCAGCAGGUUAAUACCCCGCUGUUCUGACGGUACCCAAAGAAUAAGCACCGGCUAACUUCGUG
rnacentral:rRNA from 1 species